rnacentral:tRNA from 1 species
AGGCUUGUCAAGCCUUGCGGCGCGGGGUGGCUCUUGAUGAGAGCUGCAAUGAUGCCAAGUUCAAUCUUGGACUGACUUU